CCUACGGGCGGCAGCAGUAGGGAAUCUUCCACAAUGGAGGAAAGUCUGAUGGAGCAACGCCGCGUGAGUGAAGAAGGGUUUCGGCUCGUAAAGCUCUGUUGGUAGUGAAGAAAGAUAGAGGUAGUAACUGGCCUGUAUUUGACGGUAAUUACUUAGAAAGUCACGGCUAACUACGUGCCAGCAGCCGCGGUAAUACGUAGGUGGCAAGCGUUGUCCGGAUUUAUUGGGCGUAAAGCGAGUGCAGGCGGUUCAAUAAGUCUGAUGUGAAAGCCUUCGGCUCAACCGGAGAAUUGCAUCAGAAACUGUUGAGCUUGAGUGCAGAAGAGGAGAGUGGAACUCCAUGUGUAGCGGUGGAAUGCGUAGAUAUAUGGAAGAACACCAGUGGCGAAGGCGGCUCUCUGGUCUGCAACUGACGCUGAGGCUCGAAAGCAUGGGUAGCGAACAGGAUUAGAUACCCGAGUAGUC
rnacentral:rRNA from 1 species